UGCAUGGCGAGUUGUCAUGACAACCAAGGGAAACUAACGGAGAGAGUUUGGUGCUGCAUCUCCCUCACGGCUGUACUAAGUGCCACAGGAUGCCAGCCUGGUUCCUUCAAGAGCAAGAACACCAGUGAAGCAUGCUGGCUUCAAGCACCGGCAGGGAGACGGAGGGCUCCGAGGCUGCGCUCUGAUCUCAGAGAGGAAGCUCCCUGCAGCCUCUCUUCACAGGUCCUCUGUGCAGGAAGCAAGACUUUGAAGGAAGCCCUGGAAGAAGUCGGCAGUUCUCCUUCCCUAGCCUUGCAGCCUGUCCAUCACGACUUCACACUUCAUCAAUAAACCGAAGAGGAAAAGUUCCCGGAGCCACAGCUAAACCAGUGAGGUGUAUAUGGCUUUAACAGAGCCAGGACACUUAUCUCAAGCUGGGAGUGUAAUUUCAUGCUGCCUUCCCUUCUCACCUUGCUUUAAUUCAACCAGAAGCAUGGCUUCCCUGGGGUCAGAGACACGGAAAGAGAGCACGUCCAGAGCACUGCUCGGGUUCCACUACUCACACUCACCAUUUCAGAGGCGUUGAAUAGCCUGACUUCCGCAUCAAAAGGCUACCCCACUGAAAAACACUCUGUGGAGCAGGGCUGGGAUGGAGCAAAGACAGAGAGGAAGGCUUGGAGGACACCUAAUCCAG